UCCUGGCUUAGGACGAACGCUGGCGGUAUGCUUAACACAUGCAAGUCGAACGAGACGAGAUGGAAGGAUCCUCGGGUGACGGAAAUCUUAGAAAGUGGCGAACGGGUGAGUAACGCGUGGGUAACCUGCCCUAUGGAAAGGAAUAGCCUCGGGAAACUGGGAGUAAUGCCUUAUAAUACAUUGAAGUCGCAUGGCUUUGAUGUUAAACGCUCCGGUGCCAUAGGAUGGACCCGCGUCCCAUUAGCUAGUUGGUGAGAUAACAGCCCACCAAGGCGACGAUGGGUAACCGGUCUGAGAGGGCGAACGGUCACACUGGAACUGAGACACGAUCCAGACUCCUACGGGAGGCAGCAGUGGGGAAUAUUGCGCAAAUGGGGGAAACCCUGACGCAGCAAUACCGCGUGAGUGAAGAAGGUUUUCGGAUCGUAAAGCUCUGUUAUUGGGGAGGAAAAAAGACGGUACCCAAGAAGAAAGUCCCGGCUAACUACGUGCCAGCCGCAGC
rnacentral:rRNA from 1 species